CAAUCUGGCAUAUUGACUUGAAUGAUAACUACAGACAUGUGGAGCAGGGAGGUUUGUGUGUGUCUCCUCCUGUCUUCAUUUCUGUCACACAUGUUUGGUACAUAAGAACCUGACAGGGACACACCUUAUGUUUUUUUCUACAAGAAAAGGUCAGUCAGUGGUUGUGCUCAUUUUUUGCUUCAUUGCUCAACUGAUUUUCCAAUAAAAACUCCAUCUCCGGGUGGCAGAUUUCUAUAAAAAACGCCCAUGCGUCUCUUUCCCAUCCUGUUAAGUUUUAGAUGAGCAGUACGGCAGCGAGCAGCGCCGCACCCUUGGUGAUGUUGAUGACUCGUCACUGUGUGUGUCCCCCCUCCCAUCCAAUGCCAAGACAGCUUGGCUAAUUAAAUGUGCUGGGCUCAGGCCUUCCUGUGCCAACUGUGACAUGCUGCACUCUGAGGGAUCCCUCAUUCGGAGGAGUGACAGGGCAACGCGCACGUCCCAGAGAUCCACUCACUGAUGACAAAGUGUUCAAGCCUGACCCCGAGGGCGCCCUGCAAAAAACAUGAGCCGCCAGAGAUAGACAGAAAGGAGGACUUUGUACAUGGUAAAAUCUCCCUGAUGAAGACUGUGCGAUACGGUUUAAAGCUCUGCAAAAGCUAAUCCAAUCAGGAUAGAGGCGCAGCGAUGUGUAUCCUCCUCAGCUCCUCCUUCUCCUCCAAAUGUGGUCACUUCUGGCUCCAAAUGAACAAGAUGGCGAUGGCCACAAUGUCAAACUCGAGACCUCAGAACC